rnacentral:sRNA from 1 species
UUCUGACUUGCCUGAAGUCUAUGAGUGA